UUACCCUAACUCAUGGCCCAUUUUCUUCUCUCUCACCUUCAUCUACUCUCUCUCUCUUAAGGGAAUGUUUGGUUCGCCGAAAGUGAAGCAUCGAAAGUGGCACUUUUAAAAAGUGACACAUAAUCGGUUGUUUGGUUUGCGAAAGUGAAUAUGAAAGUCACUUUACGAAAGUGGGCUGAUAAAGUUAGUUAUAACUAAAUCUCACUUUUUUUAUUUUGGCUCAAAAAAUUCGAAAGUCACCGAAAGUGGAGAGCAUAACUACAAGGUUAUAUUUGGUCUUAACUUUAAUAUUUAAAUUUAU
rnacentral:lncRNA from 1 species